GACGUAGGGGCCGAGCGUUGUCCGGAGUUACUGGGCGUAAAGGGCGCGCAGGCGGUUGGUCACAUCGGCGGUGAAAGCCCCCGCUCAACGGGGGAGGGUCCGUCGAGAUGGGCCGACUGGAGGCAGGGAGAGGGCGGUGGAAUUCCGGGUGUAGUGGUGAAAUGCGUAGAUAUCCGGAGGAACACCAGUGGCGAAGGCGGCCGCCUGGACCU
rnacentral:rRNA from 1 species